rnacentral:rRNA from 1 species
AUUGAACGCUGGCGGUAUGCUUAACACAUGCAAGUCGAACGGUAGCAGGCCUUCGGGCGCUGACGAGUGGCGGACGGGUGAGUAACGCGUAGGAAUCUGCCUCAUAGUGGGGGACAACGUGUGGAAACGCACGCUAAUACCGCAUACGCCCUACGGGGGAAAGCGGGGGACCUUCGGGCCUCGCGCUAUGAGAUGAGCCUGCGUUAGAUUAGCUAGUUGGUAGGGUAAAGGCCUACCAAGGCGACGAUCUAUAGCUGGUCUGAGAGGACGAUCAGCCACACUGGGACAGAGACACGGCCCAGACUCCUACGGGAGGCAGCAGUGGGGAAUAUUGGACAAUGGGCGCAAGCCUGAUCCAGCAAUACCGCGUGUGUGAAGAACGCCCUAGGGUUGUAAAGCACUUUCAAUAGGGAGGAAAACCUGUCGGUCAAUACCCGGCAGCUUGACAUUACCUAUACAAGAAGCACCGGCUAACUCCGUGCCAGCAGCCGCAGUAACAC